AUACUGUAUGUUAACUAACUGGAAUGAAAAUAAAAACUUGAAAAAAAAAAUUUUUUUUUUUUUUUUUUUUUUUUUGAAGAUGGAAGGCAUAAGGAGGCGGGGUAACUGAUUACCAGAAUAUAGGAAGCCCUGGUUUAGAGGGUGGUGAGAGGUGCUGCAGCAGGAAAGCCACUGUUCCUGCAGAACUGGAGAAGCUCGGGAUAUGAAGCCUCCAGUUUGGCAGAAGAUUGUGAAGGAUAUGACGUAAUAUACAGAAGAGAACGUGAAAAUCAUAAACUCAGGAGAAUCUUCGCCUCGCUGUAGUCAGAGAAAUGCGUAUUAACACCGUGGCGACCCGCAGUACAAAUGUGUGGAAGAGGCUGUUGGCUGUUAAACAGCACUGGUGGCUGUCCAGCGACAGCACAUCUGACAACAGCUUUGUUGGGAACUACCAAAACCUGGACCUCAACCAAAGUGAUCGUUCGUAGGGUCCAUCAACAAGAAAACAGAGGACUUAUUGUAAGGUCUACGCUGUAUCUAAAACUUGAAAACAUACGGAAUGGUAAUGUCAGGUACAGUGUUACAGUAAGAUAUAAAAACAUUCGUAGGAAGUGCUGUGCACCACAUCAUGGGGUAUUUGCCCCUAGGGAAAGCAGAAGGAAGGGAGACACUGGGGAACAGUACAAAGCAGGUCUCUUGCAGAACCUGUACUAUUUAAUUUCCUAAAAAGUUGAGGGAGGUGUAGCUGGAAUGAGACCAUGGGAGUAGGAGAUUUGUCCAAACUGCAUCAUCAGUUUAUAAGAGUUCAUUGUAUGUUAUAAACUGUGAUUCCCUGUACAUUUGAAAUGUUUAAUGAAGUGAUUGGUUGUUUUAAGGCAGAGUUCUUUGAUUACUGAAGCUAAAGAUUUUUUUUCAGCUUUUUAACCACUAGUAUGUAUUUCUUUCAGCUUUGGGAUUUUCUGUUGGUAUGCUCUCCCCAUGUUUCUGUGGAGGUUAACUUUUUCACGUUUUUAAUUCUCUUAAUUGAUUAAAGAUAGUAACUCGUUGAAGAUCUCUUUUACUAAGAUAUUUUCAGAAUCUCAGAUUAAGUGUUUAGAUGACUUUGCUUAGAAAACCUUUCUC